rnacentral:snRNA from 1 species
AGAUUUACCUGGCAGGUUAGCCACCUUGAUCUGGCAGAUGGUUUUUCCAGGGCAAGGUUCAGCCAGGUGUGCUGACCUCUGUGAUCCCAAACGCAGAAAACUCAACUGCAUAAUCUGUGGUAGUAGGAAAUUGUUCUAA